rnacentral:tRNA from 1 species
GGGGAUGUAGCUCUGUGGUAAAGUCUUUGCCUAGCAUGCACAAGGCUCUGAGUUCAAUCCCCAGUACCACCA